GUACCUUCACUGGGGAGACACCACGAUAAAGACAGUGGGUUUUCCCACCAUAUCAUUCCUUACACAGAGGUGUGCUGACCCCUGUGAUUUACCCAAAAAUGGUAAGCUCAGCUGUGUAAUUUGUGGUCCCUGAGGAUUCUCUGG
ensembl:snRNA U1 U1 spliceosomal RNA